CUACGGGGUGCACCAGUGAGGAAUAUUGCACAAUGGGGGGAACCCUGAUGCAGCAACGCCGCGUGGAGGAUGACGCAUUUCGGUGUGUAAACUCCUUUUAUAUGUCAAGAAAAUGACGGUAGCAUAUGGAUAAGCACCGGCUAACUCCGUGCCAGCAGCCGCGGUAAUACGGAGGGUGCAAGCGUUACUCGGAAUCACUGGGCGUAAAGGACGCGUAGGCGGGUUGGAAAGUCAGGUGUGAAAUCCUACAGCUUAACUGUAGAACUGCACUUGAAACUUCUAAUCUAGAGUAUGGGAGGGGAGAUGGAAUUAGUGGUGUAGGGGUAAAAUCCGUAGAUAUCACUAGGAAUACCUAAAGCGAAGGCGAUCUCCUGGAACAUUACUGACGCUAAGGCGUGAAAGCGUGGGGAGCAAACAGGAUUAGAUACCCCAGUAGUC
rnacentral:rRNA from 1 species